AUCACCUGCUGAAGAUAAGUCUAACCUUUCGUCUGCAGAAUCUGAUGAGGCAAAACGAGGUCAGGGGAAAAGAAGCCGAACUGAUCAUGAACAAAACAAAGCUUCUUCAGAUAGUGCGGGAUCGGAUGAUGAGAUGAACAAAUCUGUCCUCCCGGCGCCACCAAGGUUCAACAAUUCUUUUUCCCAAGUUCCACCGCCAACCUCAUCGACCAGUCAAAUUGUGUCUGCUCCAGAAUCUAAUAUUUCUGUUAUGGUAUUAUGAGUAUUAUGAGUAUUAUUAGUAUUAUGAGUUUCAUAAUACUGGAUUCGGUGAGUUAGUUAUUUAGAUGUAGAUUAGAUGCAAAAUUAUUGGUCUAAUAUUUAUACACAAAUAUGUAUAUGCACAUUUUUAAGAUGCUGACGGGAAUCUAACGUUUCAGCUGGCUGAAACAGACUUCCUUCAAGAACAAGCUUCCACCGGACAGGAAAAAUCUGCAACUAUUACACAACCUGGGGUACUUAAUCAAACUAUGCAAAAUGGAUCUGCAAAUUAUGCUUCAAUUUUGAUGCAUGUAAAGGAAUUAAUUCGUGAAGUAUCAAUGAUCAAAUAUACCGUCAACAAUAUUGAGCGUAAAUUGGAUAACUUGAUUGCAGCCGGGAGCCAUCAAGAUUCAGCGGAUAAUGAUCAGCCGUCAAUUUUACAGCAGCCAUUUCAAUCCCUUGAGGAAUUUAAAGAAUUUGAUGCAGCCCUUUGC